rnacentral:rRNA from 1 species
UCCGCCAGGAACUACGAGCGCUAGCUUGAAACCCAAAGGACUUGGCGGUACCUUAGAUCCACUUAGAGGAGCCUGUUCUAGAACCGAUAAUCCACGUUUAACCUCCCCACUUCUUGUUUACUCAGCCUAUAUACCGCCGUCGUCAGCUUACCCCGUGAGGGACAAAUCAGUAAGCAGAAUUGGUAUUACCCAAAACGUCAGGUCGAGGUGUAGCAUAUGAAGUGGAAAGAAAUGGGCUACAUUUUCUAAAGAAGAAUACUACGGAAGGCACCAUGAAACAAGUGCCCAAAGGCGGAUUUAAUAGUAAAAAGG